GGUCGAUUAGCUUAGUCGGUAGAGCGUGGUACUAAUAAUGCCAAGGUCGUGGGUUCGAUCCCCACAUUGACCA
rnacentral:tRNA from 2 species